rnacentral:rRNA from 1 species
AUUGAACGCUGGCGGCAGGCUUAACACAUGCAAGUCGAGCGGGGUGAUGGUGCUUGCACUAUCACUUAGCGGCGGACGGGUGAGUAAUGCUUAGGAAUCUGCCUAUUAGUGGGGGACAACAUCUCGAAAGGGAUGCUAAUACCGCAUACGUCCUACGGGAGAAAGCAGGGGAUCACUUGUGACCUUGCGCUAAUAGAUGAGCCUAAGUCGGAUUAGCUAGUUGGUGGGGUAAAGGCCUACCAAGGCGACGAUCUGUAGCGGGUCUGAGAGGAUGAGCCGCCACACUGGGACGGAGACACGGCCCAGACGCCUACGGGAGGCAGCAGUGGGGAAUAUUGGACAAUGGGGGGAACCCUGAUCCAGCCAUGCCGCGUGUGUGAAGAAGGCCUUAUGGUUGUAAAGCACUUUAAGCGAGGAGGAGGCUCUUUUGGUUAAUACCCAAGAUGAGUGGACGUUACUCGCAGAAUAAGCACCGGCUAACUCUGUGCCAGCCGCCGCCGUAA